GUCAAUAUCUCAUUGAAAGCAUCAAAGGAAACUGCACAUGUUUUACGGGAACAUCAUCCCGAACUUCUUGGAUUGACAAUUCUAUACAUCUGUAACCGUUUAAGUUUACCGCUAGCAGAUAUUGUCUUAUUUGGGUUUUUCCUCAGGGUUUUAAACGCCUGAUAGGGAGAGGUUGCAAAGCCUUCCCUGGAGACAAAAACAGCCAACAAAGUGAAAUUCGUUUACUCCAAGAGGACACUAGGAGGAUGUGUUUGAUAUGGACCAGCUGGUGCCUGCAUUUGGUGGAAACAAUAAUGCUGGUUUCAACAUAACCAAACAUGCCGAGAUGAUGAAAGAACACAGUAAGCAGAAAAACCUCGAAAACUCUUCUUGUGAAUCCUCAGAGAUUCAAGUUCAACUCAUGAAGGUCUAGUGUUUGAAGAGUGAAGACAGUUCCAUAUCAAAUUAUGCAAUAAUCUCUCAUUCUUCUUGAAAGUGGCUGAAGAAAUCUGUCCAUCAGUAUGUUGUGAGCCGACAGUGAUCUAAACAUGUUUGGUUGUGUUAAUUUUGUUUUUAAGUCAGUAGUUGAUGGAACUCUAAUGAUUUGUGAAAAAGGUGAAACAUUCAACUGA